rnacentral:rRNA from 1 species
GGGAGUACGGCCGCAAGGUUAAAACUCAAAUGAAUUGACGGGGGCCCGCACAAGCGGUGGAGCAUGUGGUUUAAUUCGAUGCAACGCGAAGAACCUUACCUGGUCUUGACAUCCACGGAAGUUUUCAGAGAUGAGAAUGUGCCUUCGGGAACCGUGAGACAGGUGCUGCAUGGCUGUCGUCAGCUCGUGUUGUGAAAUGUUGGGUUAAGUCCCGCAACGAGCGCAACCCUUAUCCUUUGUUGCCAGCGGUCCGGCCGGGAACUCAAAGGAGACUGCCAGUGAUAAACUGGAGGAAGGUGGGGAUGACGUCAAGUCAUCAUGGCCCUUACGACCAGGGCUACACACGUGCUACAAUGGCGCAUACAAAGAGAAGCGACCUCGCGAGAGCAAGCGGACCUCAUAAAGUGCGUCGUAGUCCGGAUUGGAGUCUGCAACUCGACUCCAUGAAGUCGGAAUCGCUAGUAAUCGUGGAUCAGAAUGCCACGGUGAAUACGUUCCCGGGCCUUGUACACACCGCCCGUCACACCAUGGGAGUGGGUUGCAAAAGAAGUAGGUAGCUUAACCUUCGGGAGGGCGCUUACCACUUUGUGAUUCAUGACUGGGGUGAAGUCGUAACAAGGUAACCGUAGGGGAACCUGCGGUUGGAUCACCUCCUUACCUUAAAGAAGC